GCUGGGCAUGGUGGCAGUGGUGUAUGCCUGUAAUCCCAGCAGCUGGGGAAGCUGAGGCAGGAGGAUCUCGAGUUCAAAGCCAGCCUCAGCAAUGGUGAGGCCCUAAGCAACUCAGUGAGACCCUGUCUCUA
rnacentral:sRNA from 1 species